rnacentral:rRNA from 1 species
UACGGAGGAUGCGAGCGUUAUCCGGAUUUAUUGGGCUUAAAGGGUGCGUAGGCGGGAUGCCAAGUCAGCGGUGAAAAUGCGGUGCUCAACGCCGUCGAGCCGUUGAAACUGGCGUUCUUGAGUGGGCGAGAAGUAUGCGGAAUGCGUGGUGUAGCGGUGAAAUGCAUAGAUAUCGCGCAGAACUCCGAUUGCGAAGGCAGCAUACCGGCGCCCUACUGACGCUGAGGCACGAAAGCGUGGGUAUCGAACAGG